rnacentral:rRNA from 1 species
GACGAACGCUGGCGGCGUGCUUAACACAUGCAAGUCGAACGGAAAGGCCCUGCUUUUGUGGGGUGCUCGAGUGGCGAACGGGUGAGUAACACGUGAGUAACCUGCCCUUGACUUUGGGAUAACUUCAGGAAACUGGGGCUAAUACCGGAUAGAAGCUCCUGCUGCAUGUGGGGGGUUGGAAAGUUUCGGCGGUUGGGGAUGGACUCGCGGCUUAUCAGCUUGUUGGUGGGGUAGUGGCUUACCAAGGCUUUGACGGGUAGCCGGCCUGAGAGGGUGACCGGCCACAUUGGGACUGAGAUACGGCCCAGACUCCUACGGGAGGCAGCAGUGGGGAAUAUUGCACAAUGGGCGGAAGCCUGAUGCAGCAACGCCGCGUGCGGGAUGACGGCCUUCGGGUUGUAAACCGCUUUCGCCUGUGACGAAGCGUGAGUGACGGUAAUGGGUAAAGAAGCACCGGCUAACUACGUG